rnacentral:pre_miRNA from 1 species
AAGGCCAUGGUCUUAGUUGGCAUAUACUCAAGGAGCACGCAGAAGGGAGACAAGCAACCCAGAGUGAAGCAUGUGUCCAGCAUGCCUGAAGUCCGCUCAGAAUGUCAGUCCUAAGAAAAAUGGGUCAAGUCAUGAAAAGUGGUCUCCCUUCUGCGAGCUCAUUGAGUAUAUGCGAACUGAGACCGCGGUCUUC